rnacentral:tRNA from 1 species
GGGGAGAUGCCCGAGUGGCUAAAGGGGGCGGUCUGUAAAAUCGCUGGCUUACGCCUACGCAGGUUCGAAUCCUGCUCUCCCCACCA